rnacentral:rRNA from 1 species
UACGUAGGGACCAAGCGUUGUUCGGAUUUACUGGGCGUAAAGGGCGCGUAGGCGGCAUGACAAGUCACUUGUGAAAUCUCCGGGCUUAACUCGGAACGGCCAAGUGAAACUGUCAAGCUAGAGUGCGGAAGGGGCAAUCGGAAUUCUUGGUGUAGCGGUGAAAUGCGUAGAUAUCAAGAGGAACACCUGAGGUGAAGACGGGUUGCUGGGCCGACACUGACGCUGAUGCGCGAAAAGCGUGGGGAGCGAACAGG